rnacentral:lncRNA from 1 species
GGCAAGUGAAUUUUUGUGCUUUCUGGUUUUACUAAUGGAAGGUGAUUAUAGAACAUUUUAAUGUCAGAAAGCUUUGAGAGCCAUUAUACUUCUCAGCAGAUCUUAAAGCUCUCCUGCUUAAUGACGAGUGCCUUAGUAAAGUGGGUGUGCACUCUCUCUCUCUCUCUGUCGUGCGCGCUCGCAUGCACACACACACACACGCUCCAAAUGCAACAGUAAAAGUUGACUCUGCUGUUAUUUGUCAUGCCUACCACAGCACCCACGUCGCUGUCAGGCAGUGCCGAGUGCACGGUUCACCCUGUAAUGGCACUUAGACACACCGACAUAAAAUACAAGGAUGAUCCAAUUACACUUUCUGCAACUGCAUUUCUUUCUGCUAAUGCUUACAAAUUAAGGGCGUCUGUCACUGCCUACGCGAGCCUGUGCAGAGAGCGUCUCCAGUGUCAUGAAUUUUAGAGUGUGCUUUGUGGAAAUGCAGAGACCAGUGCAAAGUUGCUAUGCAGCGUCAGUGAGACGAGGAUGACCGAACGUGGGUCACCAUUCAGGGACGAGGCGUGAGCCACUUGGACGGUGAGCCCGAUGAGGCCUAAAAGUCAUGACCAGUUUACAGACCAGCAAGCUGAGGCCGGGAAGCUUCCGUGGCUUGGCCAGGGGCAUAAGCGCAGACCUACGGCCGCAGGGUUUCUGCAGUAUGCCCCAUGGCCUGCACUGAUGCCCUUCACAUCCCCCCGAAAAGUUGGCCCUGGAUUUGAACCUCACAUGGAUCUAAGGCUUUCCGUAUCACAGUCAGGACUAUAUGUCCAUUGAUAAAGAACAGGCAAAGAAUCUCUGUAGAACGUGAAAUUAGCCAUUUGGGACUCCAAGAAGUUACCCCUUCUCAUUGGAGAGAAUUUGUUCAGAUUAGGAUGUGAAGCUCCCGCCACAUCUCCUCAAAAUUGAAACAGUGUCAACGACAAUUCAGGUCUGUUUUGAAUCUUAUUACCCUUAAAAACAGCCAGAAGCCAAGUCUGCCUGAACAUGCUCCUACUUGUUAUCGACAGUCCGCAAAGGCAUUAUGGGUGACUUGAUCAUGUGUCAUGGAAAGUCAACGUUGGGAGAAGCAAGAGUGAAAUGUCAGUCUUGCGGUUCCUGAAACCAACCAAACUGCAGGGGUCAAGUGAAAGAAAAGCAACAGCUCAAGGUAUGUCUUCAAAGCGGUGAGGGCCAGAGAGAAGUUGGAUCGCUGUCGUAUUCUGCUCCAGCGCACGUGUGGCGUGCUCGGUCUGGGAUGACAAGGCCACGGGCAAGGGUAAAGGUGUUCUUACGAGAUUCAGCACUGAAGUCAGAUUGUUGGCUCUGAAGCCCAGCUCCACAGCUCCCUCGUGUCAUUUUGGGCAAGUUGCGAUACACAUUAGAAGCAAAAUAGACAAUAGGCGGAAAUAGUCUCAAAAUAGAUCCGGGAUUUUUCAUGAGGAUUAAAUGAGCCAGUCCUCUUGAGGCUUUUAAGACAGAGUUCAACACAAAGUAAGCACUCGGUAAGUGUUAACUUUUAUUACCACAGCCAGUAUAAUGAUUAUUUCUGGGAGUAGAAAUCAGGGGAAAUCACUAGAACGGGAGGAAAGGAAGAAAAAGCAAGAAACAUACAGGGAAUCAGAGAAAUGUCGAAGCAGAAGGAUGUAUGGGAGAGAUUCGUUUUGCCCUAGACUGGUAUCUAAAUUGGAUUGCAGAAUCUUGAGACGGGCUUUUUCUUUCAUGCUGGGCAGGAUUCAUUUGCUCUGAGCACAUGACAGAAUGCAAAGUGUGCGGGGUCCUUAGUGGCUGGUUGACU